UACGUAGGGACCAAGCGUUGUUCGGAUUUCCUGGGCGUAAAGGGCGCGUAGGCGGCGUGACAAGUCACUUGUGAAAUCUCUGAGCUUAACUCAGAACGGCCAAGUGAAACUGUUGUGCUAGAGUGCAGAAGGGGCAAUCGGAAUUCUUGGUGUAGCGGUGAAAUGCGUAGAUAUCAAGAGGAACACCUGAGGUGAAGACGGGUUGCUGGGCUGACACUGACGCUGAGGCGCGAAAGCCAGGGGAGCAAACGGG
rnacentral:rRNA from 1 species